UACGUAGGGUGCGAGCGUUGUCCGGAAUUACUGGGCGUAAAGAGCUCGUAGGUGGUUUGUCGCGUUGUUCGUGAAAACUCACAGCUUAACUGUGGGCGUGCGGGCGAUACGGGCAGACUGGAGUACUGCAGGGGAGACUGGAAUUCCUGGUGUAGCGGUGGAAUGCGCAGAUAUCAGGAGGAACACCGGUGGCGAAGGCGGGUCUCUGGGCAGUAACUGACGCUGAGGAGCGAAAGCGUGGGGAGCAAAAGGG
rnacentral:rRNA from 1 species